rnacentral:rRNA from 1 species
AGUGAACGCUGGCGGUAGGCCUAACACAUGCAAGUCGAACGGCAGCACAGUAAGAGCUUGCUCUUACGGGUGGCGAGUGGCGGACGGGUGAGGAAUACAUCGGAAUCUACUUUUUCGUGGGGGAUAACGUAGGGAAACUUACGCUAAUACCGCAUACGACCUACGUGUGAAAGCAGGGGAUCUUCGGACCUUGCGCGAUUGAAUGAGCCGAUGUCGGAUUAGCUAGUUGGCGGGGUAAAGGCCCACCAAGGCGACGAUCCGUAGCUGGUCUGAGAGGAUGAUCAGCCACACUGGAACUGAGACACGGUCCAGACUCCUACGGGAGGCAGCAGUGGGGAAUAUUGGACAAUGGGCGCAAGCCUGAUCCAGCCAUACCGCGUGGGUGAAGAAGGCCUACGGGUUGUAAAGCCCUUUUGUUGGGAAAGAAAAGCAGCAGGUUAAUACCCCGCUGUUCUGACGGUACCCAAAGAAUAAGCACCGGCUAACUUCGUG